GACGAACGCUGGCGGCGUGCUUAACACAUGCAAGUCGAGCGGUAAGGCCCUUUCGGGGGUACACGAGCGGCGAACGGGUGAGUAACACGUGGGUGACCUGCCCUUAGCUCUGGGAUAAGCCUGGGAAACUGGGUCUAAUACCGGAUACGACUCCGCGGUGCAUGCUGUGGGGUGGAAAGCCUUGUGCGGCUGGAGAUGGGCCCGCGGCCUAUCAGCUUGUUGGUGGGGUGAUGGCCUACCAAGGCGACGACGGGUAGCCGGCCUGAGAGGGCGACCGGCCACACUGGGACUGAGACACGGCCCAGACUCCUACGGGAGGCAGCAGUAGGGAAUCUUGCGCAAUGGGCGAAAGCCUGACGCAGCGACGCCGCGUGAGGGAUGACGGCCUGG
rnacentral:rRNA from 1 species